GACGAACGCUGGCGGCGUGCUUAACACAUGCAAGUCGAACGGAAAGGCCUGCUUUCCCUUGUGGAUUGCGGGUACUCGAGUGGCGAACGGGUGAGUAACACGUGAGUGAUCUGCCCCCAACUUGGGUAUAAGCCUGGGAAACUGGGUCUAAUUCCCGAUAGGACUGCAGGGUGGUGCCUGUGGUGGAAAACGAUUUUCUAGUGGUUGGGGAUGAGCUCGCGGCCUAUCAGCUUGUUGGUGGGGUAAUGGCCUACCAAGGCGGCGACGGGUAGCCGGCCUGAGAGGGUGGACGGCCACAUUGGGACUGAGAUACAGCCCAGACUCCUACGGGAGGCAGCAGUGGGGAAUAUUGCACAAUGGGCGGAAGCCUGAUGCAGCGACGCCGCGUGGGGGAUGACGGCCUUCGGGUUGUAAACUCCUUUCGACCGCGAGGAAGCCACCUGGUUGGAAGGGUGGUGACGGUAGUGGUAGAAGAAGCACCGGCUAACUACGUG
rnacentral:rRNA from 1 species